rnacentral:lncRNA from 1 species
AACAUGAACUUAACAACUUGUACCAUUAACAAUGAUGGUCAAAAUGACCAUACCACGUCCUUCAAACUCCACAAAUAACCACAUGGACCCAAACUCAAACCUCUCCAUAGGUUUUGGAAGGAAAAAAAGAAAGAUAUGAAUUAAAACGAAUGGCAAACGACAGAAGACCAAGUUGGGGGCAAUAAUACAAAAAGCAGUGGUUUGUG